rnacentral:rRNA from 1 species
UAGGGAAUCUUCGGCAAUGGACGGAAGUCUGACCGAGCAACGCCGCGUGAGUGAAGAAGGUUUUCGGAUCGUAAAGCUCUGUUGUAAGAGAAGAACGAGUGUGAGAGUGGAAAGUUCACACUGUGACGGUAUCUUACCAGAAAGGGACGGCUAACUACGUGCCAGCAGCCGCGGUAAUACGUAGGUCCCGAGCGUUAUCCGGAUUUAUUGGGCGUAAGGCGAGCGCAGGCGGUUAGAUAAGUCUGAAGUUAAAGGCUGUGGCUUAACCAUAGUACGCUUUGGAAACUGUUUAACUUGAGUGCAGAAGGGGAGAGUGGAAUUCCAUGUGUAGCGGUGAAAUGCGUAGAUAUAUGGAGGAACACCGGUGGCGAAAGCGGCUCUCUGGUCUGUAACUGACGCUGAGGCUCGAAAGCGUGGGGAGCAAACAGGAUUAGAUACCCUGGUAGUCCACGCCGUAACGAUGAGUGCUAGGUGUUGGGUCCUUUCCGGGACUCAGUGCCGCAGCUAACGCAUUAAGCACUCCGCCUGGGGAGUACGACCGCAAGGUUG